UACGUAGGUGGCGAGCGUUGUCCGGAUUUAUUGGGUUUAAAGGGUGCGUAGGCGGCCCUGUAAGUCAGUGCUGAAAUAUCCCGGCUUAACUGGGAGGGUGGCAUUGAUACUGUGGGGCUAGAGUACAGAUGAGGUAGGCGGAAUUGACGGUGUAGCGGUGAAAUGCUUAGAUAUCGUCAAGACCACCUAUAGCGAAGGCAGCUUACUAGGCUGUAACUGACGCUGAGGCACGAAAGUGUGGGGAUCAAACAGG
rnacentral:rRNA from 1 species